CAGCAGCCACGGUAAAACGAAGGGUGCAAGCGUUACUCGGAAUUACUGGGCGUAAAGCGUGCGUAGGUGGUGGUUUAAGUCCGUUGUGAAAGCCCUGGGCUCAACCUGGGAAUUGCAGUGGAUACUGGGUCACUAGAGUGUGGUAGAGGAUAGUGGAAUUUCCGGUGUAGCAGUGAAAUGCGUAGAGAUCGGAAGGAACAUCUGUGGCGAAGGCGACUAUCUGGGCCAACACUGACACUGAGGCACGAAAGCGUGGGGAGCAAACAGGAUUAGAUACCCCUGUAGUCCCGUCUCUUAUACA
rnacentral:rRNA from 1 species